UUUCCUACGGGAGGCAGCAGUGAGGAAUAUUGGUCAAUGGGCGGAAGCCUGAACCAGCCAAGUCGCGUGAGGGAAGAAGGCCCUGCGGGUCGCAGACCUCUUUGGACGGGGAGCAAGGCCGCCGACGUGUCGGCGGAAGGAGAGUACCCGUAGAACAAGCAUCGGCUAACUCCGUGCCAGCAGCCGCGGUAAUACGGAGGAUGCGAGCGUUAUCCGGAUUUAUUGGGUUUAAAGGGUGCGUAGGCGGUCCGUUAAGUCAGCGGUAAAAUUGCGGGGCUCAACCCCGUCGAGCCGUUGAAACUGGC
rnacentral:rRNA from 1 species